AGCUGGUGUUGUGAAUCAGGCCGCCACAAUGCCCGGACCGGCUCCUUCCCAACACCAGGGU
ensembl:miRNA gmo-mir-138-3 gmo-mir-138-3